AGAGUUUGAUCCUGGCUCAGGAUGAACGCUGGCGGCGUGCCUAACACAUGCAAGUCGAACGGACUUAUAACGAAACCUAGUGAAUUAUGAGUUAGUGGCGGACGGGUGAGUAACGCGUGGAAAACCUGCCGUAUACUGGGGGAUAACACUUAGAAAUAGGUGCUAAUACCGCAUAAGCGCACAGCUUCGCAUGAAGCAGUGCGAAAAACUCCGGUGGUAUACGAUGGUUCCGCGUCUGAUUAGCUAGUUGGUAAGGUAACGGCUUACCAAGGCGAUGAUGCAUAGCCGAGUUGAGAGACUGAUCGGCCACAAUGGAACUGAGACACGGUCCAUACUCCUACGGGAGGCAGCAGUAGGGAAUCUUCCACAAUGGGCGCAAGCCUGAUGGAGCAACACCGCGUGAGUGAAGAAGGGUUUCGGCUCGUAAAGCUCUGUUGUUGGAGAAGAACGUGCGUGAGAGUAACUGUUCACGCAGUGACGGUAUCCAACCAGAAAGUCACGGCUAACUACGUGCCAGCAGCCGCGGUAAUACGUAGGUGGCAAGCGUUAUCCGGAUUUAUUGGGCGUAAAGCGAGCGCAGGCGGUUGCUUAGGUCUGAUGUGAAAGCCUUCGGCUUAACCGAAGAAGUGCAUCGGAAACCGGGCGACUUGAGUGCAGAAGAGGACAGUGGAACUCCAUGUGUAGCGGUGGAAUGCGUAGAUAUAUGGAAGAACACCAGUGGCGAAGGCGGCUGUCUGGUCUGCAACUGACGCUGAGGCUCGAAAGCAUGGGUAGCGAACAGGAUUAGAUACCCUGGUAGUCCAUGCCGUAAACGAUGAGUGCUAGGUGUUGGAGGGUUUCCGCCCUUCAGUGCCGGAGCUAACGCAUUAAGCACUCCGCCUGGGGAGUACGACCGCAAGGUUGAAACUCAAAGGAAUUGACGGGGGCCCGCACAAGCGGUGGAGCAUGUGGUUUAAUUCGAAGCUACGCGAAGAACCUUACCAGGUCUUGACAUCUUGCGCUAACCUUAGAGAUAAGGCGUUCCCUUCGGGGACGCAAUGACAGGUGGUGCAUGGUCGUCGUCAGCUCGUGUCGUGAGAUGUUGGGUUAAGUCCCGCAACGAGCGCAACCCUUGUUACUAGUUGCCAGCAUUAAGUUGGGCACUCUAGUGAGACUGCCGGUGACAAACCGGAGGAAGGUGGGGACGACGUCAGAUCAUCAUGCCCCUUAUGACCUGGGCUACACACGUGCUACAAUGGACGGUACAACGAGUCGCAAGCUCGCGAGAGUAAGCUAAUCUCUUAAAGCCGUUCUCAGUUCGGACUGUAGGCUGCAACUCGCCUACACGAAGUCGGAAUCGCUAGUAAUCGCGGAUCAGCAUGCCGCGGUGAAUACGUUCCCGGGCCUUGCACUCACCGCCCGUCA
rnacentral:rRNA from 1 species